UACGUAGGGGCCUAGCGUUGUCCGGAAUUAUUGGGCGUAAAGAGCUCGUAGGCGGUUCGGCAAGUCGGAUGUGAAAUCUCCACGCUUAACGUGGAGGGGCCAUUCGAAACUGCUGUGACUCGAGUCCGGUAGGGGAGUGUGGAAUUCCCGGUGUAGCGGUGAAAUGCGCAGAUAUCGGGAGGAACUCCAGUAGCGAAGGCGGAUCUCUGGGCCUUACCUGACGCUCAGGCGCGAAAGCUAGGGGAGCAAACAGG
rnacentral:rRNA from 1 species